UCCUCUAAGUACUGGUGAUGGUGUCUUCUGGAGUGCUGGGCCAAGUUCUGGGCUGCACAGUACAAGAGACGUGGACAUACUGGAGAUAGUCCAGCGGAAAGCCUCGAAGAUGAUUGUGGGGUUGGAGCAUCUGACACAUGAGAAGAAGCUAAGAGA